rnacentral:rRNA from 1 species
UACAGAGACUGCAAGCGUUUAUUCGGAUUCACUGGGCGUAAAGGGUGCGCAGGCGGCCGUGUGUGUGAGGCGUGAAAGCCCGGAGCUCAACUCCGGAAUUGCACCUCAAACUACACGGCUAGAGCAUUGGAGAGGGUAGCGGAAUUCACGGUGUAGCAGUGAAAUGCGUAGAUAUCGUGAGGAACACCAGAGGCGAAGGCGGCUACCUGGACAAUUGCUGACGCUCAGGCACGAAAGCGUGGGGAGCAAAAGGG